rnacentral:rRNA from 1 species
CCUACGGGUGGCAGCAGUGAGGAAUAUUGGUCAAUGGGCGCGAGCCUGAACCAGCCAAGUCGCGUGAGGGAAAACGGUCCUAUGGAUUGUAAACCUCUUUUGUCGGGGAGCAAAGAACGCGACGUGUCGCGUUCCGAGAGUACCCGAAGAAAAAGCAUCGGCUAACUCCGUGCCAGCAGCCGCGGUAAUACGGAGGAUGCGAGCGUUAUCCGGAUUUAUUGGGUUUAAAGGGUGCGCAGGCGGAAGAGCAAGUCAGCGGUAAAAUUGAGAGGCUCAACCUCUUCGAGCCGUUGAAACUGGUUUUCUGGAGUGAGCGAGAAGUAUGCGGAAUGCGUGGUGUAGCGGUGAAAUGCAUAGAUAUCACGCAGAACUCCGAUUGCGAAGGCAGCAUACCGGCGCUCAACUGACGCUCAUGCACGAAAGUGUGGGUAUCGAACAGGAUUAGAUACCCCUGUAGUC